ACUAAGUAGUGAGCGAGCAAAGUGCAACAAGCGAACAAACAGAAACUUUUAAGUUUAACGAUAGAAUUAAACAAUGGCGAAAGAAUACAAUUCUUCUUCGCUGCUGAGCGACAAGUCGUGUGGAAAACAAGUACAGACAACUUUGAAAAAUUUCGCUGUCUCUGAACGGCAGUCGGCUUCUGAUUUACAAGAAUUGGACGACGUUGCCAAUAGUGCAGAAGUCAAAGAAAAAUUCUAUCCAAAGUGCCGAAAGCGAUCAGUCGUGUGGGACUUUUUCAUGAAAAUAAAAGAAAAAAUUGUGUUGUUAAAUGUCAAAUAAAAGGGUGUUGCACAGAAAUUCCUUGGAGUGGAAACACAGCAAAUCCUAAAAGUCAUCUACAAUAUUAUCAUUCCGAACGUUUGCGGAAAACUGAGUCACAGGAUUUGAAUAUCACGGAAUCCAGCACAAACAGCAAGGAACAUGACAAGGAAUCAGCAAAGUAAAAAUUGAC